CAGCAAUGACGUUGCAAUGACACAUUUUUACUAAUGUUUACAAAGAUGACCUAACGUUUUUUUUUUCAAAAUUAUAAUUAAUUUUCUAUAGAAAUGUGGAAAACUACUAGAAACCAUGGGUGAUAGAGGCGGACGCGCAGGCGCAGGGGCGGGGGCGGCCGACAACACUUGCAACAUCAUGAUCGCCGCUUCCUUCCUAGGAGGGUUCAUCGGGGCUGGACUCAUCACACAUCUCAUCAAACAAAGCGGGGGCUCCCCACCAGACCCACCAUGUCCUGAGCCAAGGGAAGUGAAGGAAACUGACGACGGAGCGAAACCUAAAGCGAAAGAGUUGGAUGUGCCUGAUCACCCCUGUGAAUUCAAAAAGUCCACAGAGAAAAGUGAUAAAUAGUUGGUCAUACAGUAGUUUCAACAGAAAUUUUCGGAAAUUAUGAGUGCCAAUCCAGCUCCAACCGACAACUGCGCCCUCAAAUGUGCCAUCUCAUUCCUGGCGGGUUCCGUGGGAGGCGGUCUACUCGUGCACCUGGUCGAAGGAUCCCCAGAACCCACCUCCACACUCCACAUAGAAUGUCCGAAGACAGAUGAGGUCUUGACAGAAGAAGAUGUGAAGGCUAGAGAAGGGAAGAAGCCACUUCCGUGCAUGGUAUUGAGUAAGAUAAAGAACCCGGAGGGCUGUUCGGAUAAACUUGAAGGAAAGGAAAAAGAGGAAACGGUGAAGGAUUGAUUUUGUUUUGAUCAAUUAUUAAAACGGUUUUGGGUUAUUA